UUGAUCAUGGCUCAGAUUGAACGCUGGCGGCAGGCUUAACACAUGCAAGUCGAGCGGAGCGAGGGUGCUUGCACCUUAGCUUAGCGGCGGACGGGUGAGUAAUGCUUAGGUAUCUGCCUAUUAGUGGGGGACAACAUUCCGAAAGGAAUGCUAAUACCGCAUACGCCCUACGGGAGAAAGCAGGGGAUCUUCGGACCUUGCGCUAAUAGAUGAGCCUAAGUCGGAUUAGCUAGUUGGUGGGGUAAAGGCCUACCAAGGCGACGAUCUGUAGCGGGUCUGAGAGGAUGAUCCGCCACACUGGGACUGAGACACGGCCCAGACUCCUACGGGAGGCAGCAGUGGGGAAUAUUGGACAAUGGGGGGAACCCUGAUCCAGCCAUGCCGCGUGUGUGAAGAAGGCCUUAUGGUUGUAAAGCACUUUAAGCGAGGAGGAGGGUACUGGUAUUAAUACUACCAGGUACUGGACGUUACUCGCAGAAUAAGCACCGGCUAACUCUGUGCCAGCAGCCGCGGUAAUACAGAGGGUGCGAGCGUUAAUCGGAUUUACUGGGCGCAAAGCGUGCGUAGGCGGCUUAUUGAGUCGAAUGUGA
rnacentral:rRNA from 1 species